rnacentral:rRNA from 1 species
UACGGGGGGAGCAAGCGUUGUUCGGAUUUACUGGGCGUAAAGGGCGCGUAGGCGGUCAGCACAAGUCAGUUGUGAAAUCUCCGGGCUUAACUCGGAACGGUCAAGUGAUACUGUCGUGCUAGAGUACAGAAGGGGCAACUGGAAUUCUCGGUGUAGCGGUGAAAUGCGUAGAUAUCCAGCGGAACUCCGGUGGCGAAGGCGAGGUGCUGGACCCUUUCUGACGCUGAGGCGCGAAAGCCAGGGGAGCAAACGGG